rnacentral:rRNA from 1 species
AGCAGCCGCGGUAAUUCCAGCUCCAAUAGCGUAUAUUAAAGUUGUUGCAGUUAAAAAGCUCGUAGUUGAAUUUCGGGAUCAAUACGUCGGUCGUGCCUCCGGUACGUACUGGUGUUGUUGAUUUCUCCCUUCUGAUGAACCACGAUGUCAUUAAUUUGGUGUUGUGGGGAGUCAGGACUGUUACUUUGAAAAAUUAGAGUGUUUAAAGCAGGCAAACGCUUGAAUACAUUAGCAUGGAAUAAUGAAAUAGGACGUUCGAACCUAUUUUGUUGGUUUCUAGGAUCAACGUAAUGAUUAAUAGGGAUAGUUGGGGGCAUUAGUAUUCAAUUGUCAGAGGUGAAAUUCUUGGAUUUUAUUGAAGACUAACUACUGCGAAAGCAUUUGCCAAGGAUGUUUUCAUUAAUCAAGAACGAAAGUUAGGGGAUCGAAGACGAUCAGAUACCGUCGUAGUCUUAA